rnacentral:rRNA from 1 species
UGGGGAAUAUUGCACAAUGGGCGCAAGCCUGAUGCAGCCAUGCCGCGUGUAUGAAGAAGGCCUUCGGGUUGUAAAGCACUUUCAGCGGGGAGGAAGGCGAUAAGGUUAAUAACCUUGUCGAUUGACGUUACCCGCAGAAGAAGCACCGGCUAACUCCGUGCCAGCAGCCGCGGUAAUACGGAGGGUGCAAGCGUUAAUCGGAAUUACUGGGCGUAAAGCGCACGCAGGCGGUCUGUCAAGUCGGAUGUGAAAUCCCCGGGCUCAACCUGGGAACUGCAUUCGAAACUGGCAGGCUAGAGUCUUGUAGAGGGGGGUAGAAUUCCAGGUGUAGCGAUGAAAUGCGUAGAGAUCUGGAGGAAUACCGGUGGCGAAGGCGGCCCCCUGGACGAAGACUGACGCUCAGGUGCGAAAGCGUGGGGAGCAAACAGG